UACAGAAAGAAUUCAACAUGAACCGUUCACUGAUGAUUCUGAUAAACGCUGUAUCCCUUUCCGUUGUCACGGCUUCUAUGGAUAUGAAAUUUGGUUAUCACGUUAUAGACGGGAAUGCCAAAUAUUUGGAGAGCAUAGAGAUGAAUUUAGAAGAGAAUACAGUAAAAAUUCACACCCCAGCACACAAUGAUGUUAUGGAAUCGUACCUACUUCAAGAUUUCCGUCAGGGUCAGUAGAUGAAAUGUCUCCCUUCCUUAAGGCAAUGUAGACUGAGGGACAUUGACAGAAAAAAUGCAGUAGAUGCUGGACAAACUACAGAGGCUUUUAUUCACAGCUGG